ensembl:lncRNA
CCUCCCGUCAGUUAAUAGAUGUUUAAUGAAGCUGGUCUGGAACAAACUGAAGCAGCAUCAUCACCAAGCUCAGUUUAGGUCAGUGCUUCUCAAUUAUUUUCUGUUACGCCCCCCCUAGGAAGAAGAAAACAUUUUGCCCCCCCCCCCCCCCGGGACUAUAAUUAGUAUCAUUUGUCUAUGAAAUUGUUAUAAGUACACCUCUGCAUAACAUUGUAUCCUUAUUAAUAUUAAAGAAAACAAAAAAAGAAAGAAAUAUAGACCAAAGCAGGAUGAUUGUUGCCAAUAUUCGGCACGUUUUUGCCGAAAAAACUCAAGCGGCUGAUCAGCGUGACUGGGGUGUAAUGUCUUUAAGUGAGGGUUAGGGUUAACCAGGGUUAGGGUUAACCAGGGUUAGGGUUAUCAGCGUGACUGGGGUGUAAUGUCUUUAAGUGAGGCCUUCAUUUAUUUGGCUUCAUGCUGUCCUGCCAACAUUUUUAGACACAGUAAACACACCGGUCUUUCCUCGUCUCCCACCGUAGUCGCAGUGAAGCCAAGCGCUAUAAAGGCUUCGUCAUAUUUCCUCGUCUGAGCUUUCGGGAGACUUUCGUUUGUCUCAUUAUCUCCGUCUCUCUCCGCCUUUCUUUUCAUCACUGUUAAGUAUGUUUUCAUGCUGUCUCUUGGUGGUUUGUUCACUGCUCUUCUUAUCUCUUGCUCUGUGGUGUGUGCGCGGGAUGUGCAAUUACACUUUAUUCUAGUACGGCAAAAAAAAAAAAAACAUGUUCUCCGGGGUCACACGCGCCCCCCCUGGCAUCGCACCGCGCCCCCCUGGUGGGGUGCGCCCCACUAUUUGAGAAGCGCUGGUUUAGAGGGUUAGGGUUAGGGUUAGGGUUAGGUGACACGACUGUCUGCAUUUUGUCUGCAGCUCAUUCUUUUGCAUCGUUUGGGUCUAAACUCAGCACUCAAGAGCAUCUCUCCUCUCUCCGUUUCCUUCAGCAUCAGUGAUGUUUAACUUCCCUGACCAGGCCACCGUCAAACGAGUGGUCUACAGCCUCCCACGGGUGGGUGUCGGAACGAGCUACGGGCUGCCGCAGGCCAGGUGAGCUCAGUCUGCUGCUCCUCACUGGUUUUCAGAAAAACAGCGUUUAAAACGUGAGUGUGUGUGUGUGUGUGUGCGUGCGUGCGUUGUGUGUGUGUGCGUGUGUGUGUGCGUGCGUGCUUGCGUUGUGUGUGUUUGUGUGCGUGCGUGUGCACGUGCGUGCGUGUGUGUGUGCGUUGUGUGUGUGUGCUUGCGUUGUGUGUGUGUGCGCGUGUGUUGUGUGUGUGUGCGUGCGUGUGCGUGCGUGCGCGCCAGGCGGAUUUCUCUGGCCACCCCUCGUCAGCUCUUCAAGUCCUCCAACAUGACUCAGCGCUGGCAGAGGAGAGAUCUCCAACUUUGAGUACCUCAUGUUCCUCAACACUAUCGCAGGUGCAGUCGCGCUCGUUCUGAAAGGAGCACGUUUACUCAGCAGAAUAUUGUAGCUGACAUCAUACAGAAGCUGUACAAUAGCAGGACAGAUCCACCCACAGGCUAAUCUGCUGCUACCUCACCCGUCCACAGGAGGACCUACAAUGAUCUCAGCCAGUACCCCCCAUCUUUCCCUGGUUCUGACCAACUAUGACUCGGAGGAGCUCGAUCUCACUCUACCUGGAAAUUUCAGAGACCUUUCCAAGGUGAGACGCACAGUUAAAUAUGAUUCUGUGUGAAGUGACACCAUCCCAGAAAGAGUCUGUAUCUGACGCUUCCUUUUAGCCGAUCGGGGCGCUGAACCCCAAGCGUGCAGCGUUUUACGCGGAGCGUUAUGAGACGUGGGAGGACGACAGCGCCCCUUCUCACCACUACACCACCACCCUUUAUUCCACUGCUCAUUCCACGCUGAUGUGGAUGCUCAGAAUAGUAAGAUGCUGUUUUGCAAGUCUCCAGACUUUAAGCUUGCUGCUGCACUUUUCCCUAAAAACUAUUUCUCGUCCCUCCAGGA